rnacentral:lncRNA from 1 species
AUAAAAACUUGUAUGAGUUUAAACAAGCAUGCAGACAGUGAUACGCUAAAUUUUCUGAGUUUAUUACUCAAUAAGGUUUCAAGUAAUCCAAGGCUAACUACAAUUUAUUCAUAAAAGCUAAUUAUAAGAGCUUUAUAGCUUUAAUUGUAUAUGUUAAUGACAUCAUUGUGGCAAGUGAUGAUGAAUGUGCANNNNNNNNNNNNNNNNNNNNNNNNNNNNNNNNNNNNNNNNNNNNNUAGAUCAAAAAGAGGAGUUCACAUAUAUCAGAGGAAGUAUGACCUGGAUGUUUUAAAAGAUGUAGGAGUUCUAGAAAGAAAAACUUCAUUGCUACCCUUGGACCAAAAUAUUAAACUUUCAAGAGAUGAAGAAGAGUUAAUCCUAUAUCCAAGAAUAUACAGAAGGUUGAUUGGAAAGUUGAUGUACCUCACAUUGAUUAUGUUAUAUCUUGUCUACUCUAUUCAAGUGCUCAGCCAAUUCAUGGAAAGCCCUAGAGACUACCAUCUAAAGGAUACACACAAAGUUUUGAGGUAUACUAAAGGCACUCUAGGUCAGGAUUUAUUUUACUCAAGUACAUAUGAAUAAAGACUAAAGGCUUACACUGACAGUGACUAAGUGAGAUGCGUAGACACAAAAAAGUUUGUUACAGGAUAUUGUGUCAUGCUGGGGGACUCGCUAGUAUCUUGGAAGUUUAAAAAAUAAUAAACAGUUUAUAGAUCUUCUGUGGAGGUAGAGUAUAGACCUAUGGCCAGUGUAUGCUGUGAGUUAACAUAGAUCGGGUACUUACUUAAUGACCUUAAGGUAUGUAACUUAGAAUCAACAAAUUUGUAUUGUGACAAUAAAGCUAUCAUACAUAUAGUUGUUAAUCCUAUGUUCCAUGAAUGAACUAAACAUAUUGAAAUAAAUUGCGACCUAGUUAAAGAUAAAGUGCAAGAAGGGAGUAUUAUAACGAGACAUGUGAAAAGUAAACAACAGCUAGGAGACAUCUUCACAAAGGCUUUGUCUAGCUGGCUUGUCGAAUGCAAGCUAGUUUCCCUCAGUAUGCUUCUAUAUAAGAGCCAAAAUGCACUAUUUCAUUAAACAGUGUGUUUUGGCUACUGCACCACUAAAAAAGAGGUAUAAAAACCUCUUUUUCUUCACUAAAAAUCCCCCAAUCAGGUUUCUUCUUCUCUUUUCUACCUCUGUGCCAACACACACCAAAACCCUAGGGUUUCUGUGAUUUUCUUUCUAUUUUGCAAGUCUAAAGCUUGAGCUCGAUGUAAGACCCAUCAUCAAGUUUCUUCUUCAACGGAAUAUAGGUAUAAUGUAUUUAUUUUUAUAUUUUAUAAAAGUAUUCCAUUGUUGUUAGAAAACCUAGAACUAAAUGUUUUUCUAAUGUGUAUAAAAGAGAAUAAAAUCAUUUUGUAACAAAAUUAGUUGUUAGUAUUUAAAUUAGUGGAGUAAUUUUCUAUGGUUGGUAGUUACAAAUUUGUCUAUUUAAGGGUACUCUAUAGUUGAAUACAAAUAAGUUUUUUAGUUCAUUUUUUCUGCAUACAAAGUAUUUGAUAAAAAUCCUCAUAGACUUUAUUCUCUAGUAGUCUCAUUUUUGUUCUUAAUUAUUUUGUUCUAACAGCCCCUAUUAUUAAUAGUUAAGGAGCAUAUAAACCUCUCGAGCAUUAAGAUCAUCAUACUUGCAUUAGAGUUCCUAAUUGUUCACAACAAUUCUACCCCAAAUGUUAUAGUUGAAGACUCUUUGAGAUAGUUUAGUAUUUGUUAGGAGGCCUCACCCAUUAGGUGGUAUAAGCUCAACAUCAAUGUAACUUUUGCAAUUCUUUGAAAUUACAUUGAAUUAGGAACAAUCAUGGUAGAUAGGUUCCUAGGUUUAUCAACAACCUUAGGAUCACCUACUCUAUGAUCGCUAAGCUUCAUGGUAUCCUGAGGGCAUUAAGAUGUUUAAGAUAAAAGAGUCAGGAAAUUGAUUCUAGAAACUGACUCCUUUUUGGUUUAUAAUUUCUUCGACAUAGGAGUUGCGGGUCUUCCUCUAUAAUGGAUAUAAAAAAUUCAAAUUUGUGUAUCCAUAGGGAAUGCAAUAAUUAUGCGAAUAGUCUCAUAUGUUCGACUUAUCACACCUUUUUGAGUUGUAUAGAGCAGGAUUGGUGUUAGAUGAUUUUAAGUAUUACCUUUUUAUAGUUUCUUAUGGUAUUACUUGGACCUAUCUUACGAGGUACCGGGUACUUGUUUAUUUUUCUCUCUUUUAGUAAACUAAUAACAAUAAUAAUAAUAAAAUAUACCCUUGGAUAAAUACUAAAGCAUGUCAAGACCAAUAUAUAAAUCAAAUUAUCAAAAUUUACAAAUUAGGCCAUUAUAAAAUAUUAAUCAAAGUUUAUGUUAUAACACCAUAAGAAAAGCAACAUAAUCAAAUAAAUGUGCUUACAAUAUGUAAAUUACAAUUAAGCCUUUUAAAUAUUUCCAUACACGAUUAAAUUGUCCAUAUACCUUGAACGUCUUCUAAGAACUGUUCAAUACUUUGGCAAAAAAAAAAUCUAUGUGAAAUAUUAAUCAUAUUUUACAUUAUAAUAAUAAAAUCAAAAUAAAUGUACAAAUAAAUUGUAUUACAACUAUAGCUCCUAAAUAUUACCCAUGCAUGAUAAAAUUUUCCAUUUCAAUAGCUUGUUGCAAUCCCUUGGCUCCAAUCUCUGAACAGUUUUAGUCUACAACAACUUCUUGUUCUUCCUAUUUUUUCCUCUUAUUUAUAUUGUUCCUAAGCUAUUCAUAUAGUCUAUUCUUAUUAUAUCUUAAAUAAACAUUGUAAUUAGAGCAACUGUAAAAACAUGUUCCAAGGUUCUUCAAAGAAUAUCAUAUUAAUUACUAUGUGGGCUUAUAUAUGUAAAUUAUUGUGCAUUAAGGCUAUCAGAUUAAUUGGACCUAGUUAAAAGUGAUUUGAUACGGUUAAAAGUAUAUUGGAUCUUAAUACAUCAAAUUAAAGUAUAGGGUUUAUUUUAUGUGUAAAGACCAAAUCUAUAAUUCAUAAUUUUAUGAUAGGUCAAAUUAGGAAUAUAAAAAAUUUAUAGGCAAUAUUUGCCUAUAAAUAGGCAGUUAUGAUUCUCAAAUUAUACGUAAAAUUUUUCUAUUCUGAUAUCUCACCAAAAAUAAAGAAAGUGUGAAAAGUCAAAAGAUUACAUCCUAAUUUAGAAUAUCUGCCGCAUAACCUGCAGAUUUCUUCUCUAUGGAUUCAAGUACGCUUUCGUGUUUGUUAUCUUUGAUUCAGUACGAGAUUUGUUUAUAGUUUUAUUUUCAUAUCUAGUUUGAUUUAAUUAUAACAAGUGGUACUAGAGCUACCUCUAUUGAAUACUUGAGAUUUAGAUUUUUGGGUUUUUGAACUCGAAUGCAUGUGUUUUAUUUUAAAAUCUGGAAUAUAUAUAAUUUUGUGUUGAUUUUGUCUUAGUGUUAAAAUUUUUGGAUUAAUUUUUUAAACAAAAAUUAUGAAUUAAGAAACAAUUUUUUCAUAUAUUGUUUUCUUUUUAAGUUUUAUGGUCAUAUCUGUUUUCUGGAAAUUAUAUAUAUAUAUACAGAGAGAGAGAGAGAGAAAAAAAGUUAUAUAUAUAAAUAUAUGUGUAUAUAUAAUAUAUUACAGAAAGAAGAAGAAAAGAAUGCAUACGAAGGGAGGCUGAUCAGCCUCCCGGUCACCGCGGUGAAGCCGUGUCGUGUGGCGCGACCUCUUUGAAGAAGCCGCGACCUUUUGGUCACAGCGUGCAUAGAAUAAGCCGCCGCAUGAAGGAAAAAGAAGAGGAAGAAAAGAAAAGAAAAAAAUAAUAAUUUUUUUAGGGUUCUUUUUCUGAUUUGGUUUUUGGGCCGUGGGCUCAAAUGGGCUAUACAAUUAUUUUUUUUGGGCUGUGACUACGACCCACAGCAAACAAAACAAAGGAAGAAAACAAGAGGAAGGGAGGGGAGGCCCGCGUGUGAGUGGGCCCAAAGCUCAGAUGGGUUCAGACCCAACCCGAUCCGACCCGAUUGGUCAACGAUCAACCUUUGACUAGUCAAUAUUUGACCGUCAACAAUUGAAAGGAAGACUUUCACCGAACAAUGAUUAAGGUAGGAUUUGACCGAUCAAUGGUCAAUGGUCAAUUUUGACUUCGACUCAAAAGAAAAAAUAACAUAAUUUAAGAAUAAUUUUAGUUAUUAUUUAUAGAUAUCUUUCUUUCUUAUAUAGAAUGAAUUCAAUAUAAUUUUAAAUUUAAAUAUUGUUAUAAUAUAUAUGCAUCCUGAAAUGAAUGUAUAAUGACCCGCUUUCUCUGAAGAGAAAUGAGCAUUGUUUCACACAUAUACCUGAUAAAUUUCGAAUAACUUUACGCUAAUCUCUAUAAAUCAACAAUAUAUCCCUUGUACGGAGUUACAAUUCAUGAGUCUCAUAACAAUCCUUACCACUAGAUAUCAUAAUAAUAUAUUCAUAUCUACUUUAUAAUAAACGUCUAACAUAGUUAAAAAAUUAUUCGAAAUCCUCCUUUAAUCUUGAACUCACUCCUGACCUAAACUAAUAUGCAUUGAGGGGCGUGAAUUGGGGUGAGCUUCACGGACUCAGUAAGAAUAAAGUAAUAUUCAAAACAGAAAUGUGCAAAUACACAUUCAUACAGGUUUAAUAAAACAAACGCAAAUUUUAUAUUCAUAGAAAUCUAAUUUGCAAGGCAACCAUACUCAUCAUCAUUAUCGCAAGGUAUAACAAAAGAAAUAAUCAAGAACCACAUCUUUUUCAUUGCCCAUUCCAACAUAUUUAUAUCUAAGUACCGUACAUAUCAUUCUCAUUCAUAAAUAUCAUCAUAUUGUAUUGGAUUCAUAUUUAGAUAAUUUUUUUUCGUUCACAAAUACCAUCAACCAUACCAUAUACGUAUCCAAUCACUUCCAUUUUUAUUACAUAUUUUCAUUUCCAUUACCGGUAUCACUGAGGGUCUAUAGGGAUCCCCACUACACGUGGAUGUACAAAACAUUUCUUUUACAAUUCACUAGCCGUCCAUAUACCCUGUCUGAUAAUGGGUGUCGUAAUUAUAAACUGUCUCAAUACCCUGUCCAAUAAUGAGCGCCGCAAUUAUAAACUGUCUCAAUACCCCGUCCGGUAAUGAGCGUCAUAAUUAUAAAUCUUCUCAAUACCCUGUUCGAUAAUUGGUGCCACAAUUAUAAACGUUCUCAAUACCCCAUCUGGUAUGAGCAUAAUUAAACUAAGUCUUAACCUCGUCUGAUAAAAGACUUCUCAAUCUCGUACGACUGAGGACACAUUCAUGGUAAGGUUCAUCCUAUGUACCAAGUUCGUACACUCUCUCCUAUGAUACACGGUAAGUUUUUUCCUCUUCAACAAUUAUCUCAACUUCAAAAACUUAAACACCAAUCACAAACAUACAUAUUCUUAUAUUUCUGCACUUACUAACUUGUUCACGUAUCUAUUGUACAUAUAAUUUAUAUGUAUAUACCACACUUCAUAUUAUAUAUUCAUACACACACAAAAAUAUACAUCUUAGCUACCCCUAUACAUAUUUUGCAUGUAAUCAUGUCUACCAUUAAAAACUUACAGAUUUACACCCAUACUCAUACAACAUCUUUAAUCACUUACCGAUACAUACAUUGUACUAUAUAUGCUCAUAUAUACACACAAAUGCGUAUGCACCUAAUUUAUGCAAAUGUCAUCCGGCACAUAUGCAUUCAUCUUACCUAUAUAUUGCAUAUAUUUGACAUAUAUCACACAUCUAUACGAAAUCAUAUAUUGCUUAUUCAAAUUAAUUACCCACAUAAUCAUAUAUAUAUGUAUAUCAAGACAUACAGUUUGUAAACAUACACCCCCACCCAUUAUCUCCUAUAUGUGUAUCUAUUGGCACACGCACAUACAUUCAAAUACAAUCAACUAUGUACUCAUACAACUUCAACAUUAUUUAUAAUCACAUAAACACAAUUGUAGGAAGCCAUUCACACACGUUCACAUACGAAUGAUAAUUUGUGAGAAAACACAUUCUAAAAUCAUUCACUAAACUUUAGUCAAUCAUUUUGAAAUCAAUAAGUUAUUUUACAUAAACAUGAAAUCCUCGAAUGAAAAGUAACUCAAUUCUUACCAAAAUUUCUAAUGAAAGAAGAAAUUGGAAAGCUUUUGAACGACUUUGGUUCCAUACAGUCGGCUCCCUUUUCAGUUUUUUAUUCCCAAUUUUACUAAAAAUUUCACAUAUAUAAUUAAGGAUUUAAUUUAAAAGAAUAACCAAAUGUAAUGUGGAGGAAAAUUUACCAAAAUUAGUGUCAAAUUUGGGUUCCGACUCGAAAGAGUUCGGUUUUAGUCUCUCUCUCUAGUUCGCUAAUUUUUUGGCCUCACACAGAUCUUUGGACGGAUCUGAAACGCAGCACCAUGGUUUGCCUCACACGGAUCAAGUUCACGCAAUAUGCACUUUGCUUCUUCUUUUCAACAAUGCACCCCUUGCGCCUGGCAGUGCAUGCCCGGCACUGCGCACCGCGUGCAACACUUUUCUCCCAAUCGCGUGCGUUGCACACCCUGCACUGUGCACCGCACACAACUCUUUUUUCGGUCAUGCACCAUACUCACUUCCUCCUCCUCCUCCUCCUUCUUCUUUUUCUUCUUCUUCUCCUUCUCCUUCUUUUUCUUCUUCUUCUUCUCCUUCUCCUUUUUUUCUUCUUCUUCUUCUCCUUUUUUUUCUUCUUCUUCUUUUCCUUCUUUUCAUCUUCAUCUUCUUCUUCUCCUUCUUUUCUUCUUCUUCUUCUUCUUCUUCUUCUUCUUUUUCUUUUCUUCUUCUUCUUCUUCUUCUUCUUUUUCUUCUUCUUCUUCUUCUUUGGUGGCAGCGCGUGCCGCGCGCCCGACAUCUCACGCAGUUUUUCCUUUUCAGCCAUGUGCGCCGUGUGCCAUGCUUAUUUCUUUCUUCUUCUUCUCCUCCUCAUUUUUCUUCUUUUUCUUCUCUACCGCCCUUGUCCUUCUUGCUAGGGUUUCUUUUUCCUUUUUUUAUUUUUUUUAUUAUUAUUUUUUAAUUUCCAAGUGUGGACCUGGGCUUUCUCAUCUCCCUUAGACUUGGUUAUUACAUAAUCAAUUUAUACAAUAUAUUACCAAAGUGACAUCUCUUGUGUUAAGUUAAUUUAUUUUAGAAUGCAAACGGUUGUAUGAGUGUAUUUUAUGUGAAUGUUGAUUGACUCAAAGGAAGGUUAAUUUUUAACAUAAUUGCAUUCCAAAUUAGAGUAAUAAAUAUGUGACGUUUUUUGGUUUUUUUAGCAUGUGAACUAUAAAUCGGCCUAAAAAAAUAUUUUUUGUUUGGUGUGAUUCUUAUAGUCAGUAUUUAAUUACUAUUACAAGAUAUCACUUACAAGUUAAUAUUCUAUCUAAAGAUAGAGUGUUAAUAGAGUGUCCAAUAUCUUGAUAUAGGAUUUACCUAUAUCUAAAUUCAUUAUAAUUGUUUAUGGUAUAAGGUUAUGUGAGUAUUGAUUGACUAAAUAUUAUAUAUUCUCUGUUCAGCUUUCUUUUCUACUGAAGUAUCACUACAAAUAUUAAUUUCAUCUCAAUACUGAACGGCACAAACUUCAAGACAUUGAAAAAUAGUGUUUAGAUUGUUCUUGUAGUUAUGGAUCUGGAUUAGUUUUACGAGUCGAUCCACAUGUUGGACUUAUUCCUAACCGUACCUUUGAGGAAGAGACGGAGUUUGAAAGAUGGGAUCAGUCGAACCAUAUGAGUUUGUUAGUAAUGCAACAGUCCAUUCCAUAAGUUUUUAGAGGGACUAUGUUUGACGAGAUCACUUCAGCUAAAGAUUUUCUUGCAUCUAUCGAGCAACGUUUUGCUAGGAUUAAUAAGAUUGAAGCUUGUACACUGUUGGCAAACCUUGUUUAUAUAAGAUAAAAAGGAAAAAGAACAUAAGAAAGUAUAUAAUGAAAAUGUCUCACAUACAUGCUAAGCUUAAGACACUCAGACUUGAUUUUUAAGAAACAAUUACUAGUUUAUUUUGUUUUGAUUUCUCUUCCUCCACACUUUAAUCAUUUCAAUGUGAGUUACAAUUACCAGAAUAAAUCCUAGACUCUCAAUGAGCUCAUCUCACAUUGUGUUUAAAAGAAGAAAAGAUUAAAGUAUGAGAAGACAGAGAAUGUUCAUCUAGUUACGAUCUCAAAGGGCAAGAAGAAUAAGAAAAAGAAAGCAGGUUAAAAUGUUAUAAUUCCAGUGCAAUAGAAGAAACAAUAAAAGGAACAAAAUGAAAAUGUAUGUUUCUUCUGUAAAGCUCCUAGUCAUCAUAAGAAGCAAUGAGUCAACUAUCAUGCGUAGCGCACAAAGAAAUGUAUGCUUCUUAACUUUAUUUGUUUUGAGGUUAAUUUAACAUCUGCACCUAGACAUACGUGGCAGAUAGAUUCUGGUGCCACAACUCACAUCAAUGUGUCCAUGUAAGGUUGCCUCCAUUUCUGCAAGCCAAAUGAAGGUGUCAGAUUCAUCUAUGUCGGUUAUAGCAAACGAGUAGAGAUGGAAGCAGUUGGCACAUUUAGAUUAUUAUUGAGAACUGAAUAUUAUUUAGAUUUAGAAAAAACUUAUGUUGUAUCAUCAUUUAGACGGAAUGUGAUUUCUAUUUCUGUAUUAGACAAAUUUGGUUAUUCUUAUUUUUUUAGAAAUAGAAUAUAUGUUUUUAUUAUAAUUCCAAUAUGGUUUGUACUGAUUCUUUAUCAAUUCAUGCUGAUCUUUAUUUGUUAUAUACAAUUACUUCUUAUAAUGAAUCCUUGUGUGUGGGUACAAGAGCUGUCAAAUGUAAAUGAACAUAUGAGAAUUCUAACUCAUUGCGGCACAAGAGAUUAGGUCAUAUCUCCAAAGGAAGAAUAGAGAGACUUGUGUCGAAUGAAAUUUUUUAUCCCCUUGAUUUUACAUAUUUUGAUAGAUGUGUUAGUUACAUCGAGGGAAAAUAUACAAAACAUCAGGAGAUUGGGUGCCAAUAGGGCUAUGGACGUAUUAGAGCUAAUUCAUACAGAUAUUUGUGGGUCAUUCCCUACGGCUUCUUGGUAUGGUCAACAAUAUUUCAUAAUGUUCAUAGAUGAUUAUUCUAGAUAUCGCUACCUUUAUCUCAUUCAUAAAAAAUCACAAUCCCUAUAUAUGUUCAAAAGUUUUAAAGUAGAAGUUGAGAAAUAAUUCAAUAAAAUAAUUAAUGCUGCUAGAUCUAACUGUGGUAGUGAAUACUAUGGUAGAUAUGAUGGAUCAGGUGACCAACGUCCACGAUCUUUUAUUAUAUUCCUAAAGGAGUAUGGUAUCAUCUCACAAUACACCAUGCUGGAUUUGCCUAGCAUGAAUGGUAUUGCUAAAAGACGAAACAGAACACUUAAGGAUAUGAUGAGUAGUAUGAUUAGUCAUUAUACCUUACUUGAAUCACUCUGGGGAGAAGUAUUAAAGGCCACAACAUAUUUAUUUAACAAAGUUCCAACUAAAGCAACUACAAAUUAUUAAAAUGUACUACACCUAUAUGAGAGUGUGCACGUGAAAGACCUUAGGUAGUAGUUCCAUUGUGAGUGGAUCCGUAAUCAUGGAGUUUGUUCCAAUAUACUCUAUUGAUAUUUACUUACUCUGAACUCUUUCUUUAACAAUAUGAAACCUGAUAUUUAUAUGUUUUAACUUCAUCGAACUCCUAUUAUAUUGAAAUACACAACUACAAACUAAUUAUCAUAAAAUAUCUUUAAUGGUCUUUCUAUGCCAUCAACAAUACACAAUCCAUUGAUGCAACCAUAUUCCAUGCUUGGACACUUCAUAACAAGGUACAAACUUUACUGCCAUAAUGGAAGAGGCUAUGAGUGUUUGCUUAGCACUUUUUCAGAAAAUGGCUCCCCCAGCAAACAAGUUAGUUUCAAUUGGAAUUUUAUACCAUAAAUGCUUUUACGAUAUAAAUGUGUCACAAGUUUCAUAUUUUGAAUUUGGUUUAUGAACUUUAUAAUUAAUUUUAGUCAUAAUGUUUUUGUUUUUGUUAUAUUUUAUCUUUGAGUUUUCUUGCAGUUGAUCUCAUAAGAGUUAAGGUAUGACCAGUUAGAAAUAGACAUGUUUGGGUUACACUACAUGUAAUUUCCAUACUACACAUCUAUGCUUGAUCAAUGUCAUUUAUUUAUAUUUAUAAUACCCUAAAUUUAAUCUAAAUGAAAUUAAAAUUUUUUUUAUAAAUAUAUUUCUUAAUUUUUCAAUUUUAAAUUUUAAUUUAGAGUAAAAAAGGAAGUAAAAUUGAUGGAUGAUGAAAUUGAAAGCAAUUUUGGGGAAAUUUGGUAAAAAUUUGGGUUCUUGAUGUAUUUUUUAAAGAAAAAUCGAAAAUCAGGAGUCAAAAUGCAAUUUAAAAAAAAUUAUCACGUAGGAUGUCCGGUUAGCAAUCUCAACGAACCAGGAUGCACCACGUGGCAACAGGCACUAACGCACGAAUGACCUGGAUGCGCUCCUCCCAAAUGCGAUCAAAGAGCCAGAUUCAAACGCGAUCAAAUGAUCCAGAUUAGAUCGCGAUGGAUGGCCCAAAUUAGAUCGCGAUGAACGGUUAAGAUUCACUCUCUAUUUAAUCGCGAUCGGACGAUCCAGAUCAAACGCAAUGGACGGUCCAGAUCAAAAGCGGACGGAUAUAAAUAACUCUCAUUUGCACCAAACCUUAACCCUAGCCGCAGAACCCCUCACCAGAGAAGAAGACCUGGCCGCCGGCAAGGAGCCGCCGCCGCACCGGGACACUUUUCGACCGCCAAAAAAGGUAAAAACUUUUUUUUUCUCGAAAUUCAAUUUUAAGCUCACCCAAGACUAAAUCAAAGCAAAAAGACCGUCCAAUAGGCCGAAAAGUGCCAGCAAAGCCCGGCAGUGCCGCCGCUGGAGAUUUCACAAAACACCUCCGAUGAAGCCCUUUCCGAUUUCCGUUCUGUGUAAUUUUUUCAUCGUUAUGAUCACUGUGUCCUUUUUUACAGGUUGACCGGAACAAAACACCCAACCGCAAUGUGAGUCAGAGGAGCCGCCGCACUAGAGAGACCCGCCGCCGGUGAGUUUCGAUUUUUUAUAUUUUUUCAUCCAACUGAGGCCUUUUAACGUCUUUUCUAGCAAAGAUCGAUGCAAAAUCGGCCUAAAACAGCCAACCUAAGGCAAAUCACCGUCACCGGAGCACGGCAGAGCCACCGUGCUGGAAUUUUAAAAUUGGUCAAGUGGGCUCUGGGACUGAUUUUGGGUUUGUUUGAGACAUUUUUAGGUACUAUUAGCGCAUUUUAAUUUCCGAAUAAAAUUUUAAGGAACCUGGGAAUCGCCCGUAGGCGUAGUCGAACAGUUUAGCUUUUCGGACAUCAAAUCGAGUAAGGAUCCCUCACCCUAUUCCCUAUCAUAGAAUUGAAGUCUAAAUAAAUAAUAAUAUGGUAUUUGUGCAAAUUAAAUAAAUGUGCAUAAUUAAUUACGGAUUGCUAAUGGAGCCCGAACCGAAAACUAUUCUCUGUUAAUUUCUGUUGAUUUAUUUUACAGUCUAAAAGCAUGAUGAUAUCUGGUUUAUCAAUUUUAUUAUUUGAAUGCAUGAAUUGAUACCUUACGUUACUAUUGUUUGAUUGAAAAUUUGAUAUAUAAUUGCAUUCCCUCAUGCAUGUUUGUUUGCUUAUGUGAUCAUAGUUGAUUUGGAAAAUUGAGACUAAAGAAAAACAGAAAAGUUGUGUGAUUAAAUAAACAGAUAGAACGGCAGCCUUAGUAGAUAUCUUAGAAGAUGAUGGACGGACCGAGCACAUAGGGAACCCUACUGUGAACGUUGUCUCAUACCGGACGGAUGGAGACUUAAUAAUUUGGUGCUCAUACCGGACGUGGUAUGGGGGAUGGUCCGCUUCACCCUCAUACCAUACGGGGUAUUGAGGUUUAAUAAUUUGGCGCUCAUACCGGACGGGGUAUGGGGACGGCCUAUAAUUGAGAUUGUUAAAGGAAAAGGGUCACCUAUUUUUGGUAGAAAGGGAGACGGGAUGUUGAGGUUAUGUAUUGAUUACAGAAGUCUGAACAGAGUCAUAAUUAAAAACAAGUAUCCCUUCCCCAAAAUUGAUGACCUAUUUAAUCAGUUACAGGGUUCUCAAGUUUUCUCCAAAAUAGACCUGCGUUAAGGUUACCAUCAAGUAAGAAUCAGGGCCGAAGAUAUCCCCAAGACAGCCUUUCGAACCAAGUACGGGCACUAUGAGUUCAUGCCUUUUAGACUAACCAACACUCAAGCCAUCUUCAUAGACUUGAUGAACAGGGUUUUAAGACAAUUCCUAGAUUAGUUUGUUAUUGUAUUCAUUGAUAACAUUUUGGUUUAUUCAAAAAGUAGAGAGGAACACGCCCACCAUUUGACUCAAGUUUUGCAGGUUCUUAGAGAAAAAAAGUUGUAUGCAAAGUUAAGUAAGUGUGGGUUCUGCCUUGAACAGACUACCUUUCUGGGACACAUCAUAUCAAAUGAUGGAGUGUCAAUGAACUCUGAAAAUGUUAAAGCAGUGCUCGAUUGGAAAAAAUUGACAACAGUUAAGGAGAUCUGUAGUUUCUUGGGAAUGGCGUGUUAUUACUGUAGGUUUGUGGAAGAAUAUUCUAGUCUAGCUGCUCCUCUAACUCAGCUCACGAAGAAGAAUGUCAAGUUUGAGUGGAACGAGAACUGUAAAAGAAGUUUUUCAGAACUAAAGAAGCGGCUGACUACCACACCUGUGAUGGCCUUGCUGAGCGGAUCGGGUGGAUAUAUAGUUUACAGUGAUGCCUCCUACUUAGGUAUGGGUUGUGUGUUAAUGCAGCACGAGAAGGUCAUAGCCUAUGGGUCCAGACAGUUGAAAAGUCAUGAGAAAAACUAUCCCACCCACGAGAGCUUGCUGCAAUCAUACACAUUUUGAAAACUUGGCGCCAUUAUCUGUAUGGGGAGACCUUUCAAAUCUAUACCGAUCACAAGAGUUUGAAACACAUAUUCACUCAGAAGGAUCUCAACAUGCAUCAGAGAAAGUUGAUAGAACUUCUUAAAAACUAUGAUUGCAACAUCUUGUACCACUCGGGUAACGGCAAUGUGGUAGCCGACGCACUCAGUAAGAAAAGUGCGAGUACAUUAGCCCAAUUGAUGGUUUCAUAAUACAGGCAUAUAGGAGUUGCACAACAGGUACGACUUCAGAACCUGAAGAGAGUCACAUGUUUGGACUAUCUAGCUAUUCNNNNNNNNNNNNNNNNNNNNNNNNNNNNNNNNNNNNNNNNNNNNNNNNNNNNNNNNNNNNNNNNNNNNNNNNNNNNNNNNNNNNNNNNNNNNNNNNNNNNNNNNNNNNNNNNNNNNNNNNNNNNNNNNNNNNNNNNNNNNNNNNNNNNNNNNNNNNNNNNNNNNNNNNNNNNNNNNNNNNNNNNNNNNNNNNNNNNNNNNNNNNNNNNNNNNNNNNNNNNNNNNNNNNNNNNNNNNNNNNNNNNNNNNNNNNNNNNNNNNNNNNNNNNNNNNNNNNNNNNNNNNNNNNNNNNNNNNNNNNNNNNNNNNNNNNNNNNNNNNNNNNNNNNNNNNNNNNNNNNNNNNNNNNNNNNNNNNNNNNNNNNNNNNNNNNNNNNNNNNNNNNNNNNNNNNNNNNNNNNNNNNNNNNNNNNNNNNNNNNNNNNNNNNNNNNNNNNNNNNNNNNNNNNNNNNNNNNNNNNNNNNNNNNNNNNNNNNNNNNNNNNNNNNNNNNNNNNNNNNNNNNNNNNNNNNNNNNNNNNNNNNNNNNNNNNNNNNNNNNNNNNNNNNNNNNNNNNNNNNNNNNNNNNNNNNNNNNNNNNNNNNNNNNNNNNNNNNNNNNNNNNNNNNNNNNNNNNNNNNNNNNNNNNNNNNNNNNNNNNNNNNNNNNNNNNNNNAGGUCAAGGCAGAGCACCAAUGCCCCAAGUGGGCUACUGUCAGCCGUUACUAAUCCCAGAAUGGAAGUGGGAACAUAUCACCAUGGACUUCAUAAUAAGAUUACCUAAGGCACACUCAGGACAUGAUACCAUCUGAGUAAUUGUUGACCAGCUUACCAAGUUUUUCCACUACUUGGCCAUCAAGAUGACCGAUCCUUUAGACAAGUCAGCAAGAAUGUAUAUCCGAGAAAUAGUCAGACUACAUGGCGUGCCAGUGACAGUAGUGUCCGACAAGGACACUAGGUUCGCUUCUCGAUUUUGGUUUAGCUUUCAUCAAGCCAUGGAAACAAAGUUGUCCUUAGUACUGCAUUCCGCCCUCAGACCGAUGGACAGUCAUAAAGGACAAUGCACACACUUGAGGAUAUACUCCGAACUUAUGUUCUUGACUCCGCAGGCCAUUAGGAUGACCAUCUACCUCUGAUAGACUUUGCCUACAACAACAGCUACCAAGCGAGUAUUGGCAUGGCUCCGUAUGAGGCGUUACAUGGGAGCCCAUGCAGAUCACCGAUUUGUUGGGAAUAAGUAGGCGAUAGAAAACUGUUCGGCCCAGAUCUAAUAGAGGAUACUACAUUCAAAAUAGUUAAGAUCAGGAAGAACAUUCAGAUGGCUCAGAGCAGGCAAAAGAGCUAUACAAACUCCCGGAGGAGGGAUUUAGAAUUUGAGAAAGGCGAUCGGGUGUUCCUCAAGGUCACUCCCUUCAAGGGAAUCAAUAGGUUCGGCAAGAGGGGAAAACUGAAUUCCUGAUUUAUUGGACCAUUUGAAAUCUUAGACAGAAUUGGUACCGCCACCUAUAGACUGACACUGCCUCCAAAACUUUUCAGGGUCCAUAAUGUGUUUCAUGUGUCUAUGUUACGCAAGUACAACCCGGACCCCUCUCACGUCUUGGUCCACAAGCCUCUUUUGCUUCAGGAGGAUCAAUCCUACAAAGAAGUACCGGUCGGCAUUGUGGACCGAAAGAGCAGAUUACUCUGCAAUCAGCAAAUUUCCUUUGUUAAGGUCUUAUGGCAGAAUCACAUAUCGAGAGAGGCCACAUGAGAGCUAGAAUCAGACUUCAGAGCCAAAUAUCCCCAGUUGUUUGAUUGAGAAUAAGAGAGACAAAUUUGAGGGACCAAAUUUCUUUUAAGAGGGGGAGAGUUGUAAUACCCUAAAUUUAAUUUUAAUAUAAUUUAAGAUUUUUUUUAUAAAUAUAAUUUCUUAAUCUUUUAAUUUUUAAUUUUAAUUUAGAUUUAAAAAGGAAGUAAAAUUAAUGGAGAAUGAAAUUGAAAGCAAUUUUAGGAAAAAUGGGUAAAAAUUUGGGUUCUUAAGGUAUUUUUAAAAGAAAAAUCAUAAAUCAGGGGUCAAAAUACAAUUUAGAAAAAAAAAUUGUUAGAUACGAUGCCCGGUCAGCAGUCUCGAUGAACCAGGACACGCCACGUGAAAAACGAGUGCUGACACGAUGCCAUGCGGGGAGCCACGCGAGUGAUCCGCAUGCCCUCGAUUGAAUGACCCAAGUACGUUCCCGCGUGUACGGACGGCCUGGAUGCGCUCCCUCCCAAAUGCGAUCGAACAGCUGAAUUCAAACGCGAUCAGACGAUCCAGAUUAGAUCGCAAUGGACGACCCAGAUUCACUCCCUAUAUAAUCGCGAUCGGACAGUUCAGAUCAAACGCGAUGGACGGUCCAGAUCAAACGUGAUGGACGGUCCAGAUUAAAAGCGGACGGAUAUAAAUAACUCUCAUUCACACCAAACCCUAACCCUAGCCGCCAGAACCCCUCGCCAUAGAAGAAGACCUGGCCACCGAGAAGGAGCCGCAGCCACCCGCCACUGCAUUAGAACUCUUUUCGACUGCCAAAAAAGGUAAAAACUUUUUUUUUUGCUCGAAAUUCAAUUUUAAGCUCAUCCAUGGCUAAAUUGUAAAAAAAAGACUGGCCAGUUGGUUGAAAAAUGCCAACAAAGCCUGGCGGCCCCACCGCGAGGUAUUUCACAAAAUGCCUGGAAUAAGACCUUUCCUGAUUCCUGUUCUGUGUAAAUUUUUUACUGUUCUCAUCACCAUAUCCUUUCUCUAUAGGUUGACCAGAGCAAAACACCCAACCACAAUGUGAGCCGAAGGAGCCGCCGCACCGGAUAUCCCCGCCGCCGGUGAGUUUUAAUUUUUUGUAUUUUUGGGGCCAACCGAGACCCUUUAACUUAUUUGCUCACAGGGAUCGACGCAAAAUCAACCGAAAACAGCCGACCCAAGGAGGACCGCUACCGUGCCAAAUUUUCAAAAUUAGCUAAGUGGGCCUCAAGACUAAUUUUGGAUUUGUUUGGGAUAUUUAUAAGUACUAUUAGCGCGUUUUAAUUUUUGAAUAAAAUUUUAGGGAACCCGAGAAUCGCCCGUAGGCGCAGUUGAAUAGUUUAGCUUUUCGGGCAUCAAAUCGAGUAAGAAUCUCUCACCAUAUUUCCUAUCAUAGAAUUGAAGUAUAAAUAAAUAAUAAUAUGGUAUUUGUGCAAAUUAAAUAAAUGUGCAUAAUUAAUUACGAAUUGCUAAUAGUGCUCGAACCAAAAAUUGUUCUCUAUUAAUUUCUGUUAAUUUAUUUUACAGUCUAAAAGUAUGAUGGUAUCUGGUUUAUUAAUUUUAUGAUUUGAAUGCAUGAAUAGCAACCUUACGUGACUACUAUUUGAUUGAAAAAUUGAUAUAUGAUUGCAUUCUCUAAUGCAUGUUUGUUUGCUUAUGUGAUUAUAGUUGAUUUGAAAAAUAGAGACUAAAGGAAAACCAAAAAGUUGUGUGAUUAAAUAAACAUAUGGAAUGACAGCCUUACUAGAUAUCCUGAGAGAUAGUGGACAGACCGGAUAUAUAAAGAACCGAUCGUGAACGUUGUCUCAUACUGAACGGGGUAUGGAGAUGUGAAAAUUUGGAGCUCAUACCGGACGGGGUAUGGGGACGGCCCACUUCACCCUCAUAUUGGACGGAGUAUUGAGAUUUAAUAAUUUGGUGUUCAUACCGGACGGGGUAUGGGGACGGCCCGUAAUUGAGAUUGUUAAAGUAAAGGGGUCACGUGUAGCGGGGACAUCCCUAUGAACCCCCAUGGAUACUAGUAGGCUGAUGAAAAGGUGAUAAUUAUUGUUUGGUUAUUUGAUGAUGUUUAUAGAUUUAUGAUAUGUGCUAUGUUGCUGAUCCUACAUGAAAUUAAUAUCCGUAUGAUAUUAUUAUCUGCAUAGGUUGUUUUCAUAAAUUCCACUGCGGUAAGUGAACGGUAAAUGAUUUUAUGAUUGAUAAAUGAAUUUACUAAAUUUAGUGCUCCAUUAGUUAUUUUUAUUUUUAUACCCACCUUUAUUUCUAUGUCGGCCAUAUAGUGUGAUAUCCUUACCGAGCUAGUGUAACUCAUUCCUUAUUUAACUAUUUCAGAUCAAGAAGACCAGGUUACAGAGCCCAAUCCGCAAGAAGAUUAUGAGUAGAUGCUAGAUAUUUUCUCUUUUCUGUUUAUUUCCUUAUUUCUUGUGUUUUUUUCGAAAGGGUGAAUUCCGUAAUGUUGUUUUGUACUUUUAAGUUAUUGUGUAAGGAAUGUAAACCUUAACCAUUUUAUUUCGCUUCCGCACUUAAGUUAUUAUCUAUUUCCUUUGGGUAUUUUUAAGGCCUUUACAAUAUAUAUACAUGACCAUUUAUGGGUUUAGUUAUGACAGAUAUAGCGAAGCCCGCUUUGAUCCUAUGUUAAUGUGAUCAAUGGACCAGAUUGUUUAGGGAUGUAUUCAAGUAAUGAUAACAAAAUUCUGAGUACUCAUAAAGUUAUUAAAUGCACAAUUAUGAGGUAACACAUAUAACCCAAGUAGGAGAUUGUUGGGUUCUGACUUUACAGUGUGGGAGUUGUGUAAAUUAUUAUGCAUCAAAAGCUAUCAAAUUAAUUGGGUCUAGUUAGAAGUGAUCCGAUAUGGUUAAGGGUAUAUUGAGACUUAAUACAUCAAAUUAAAGUAUGAGGUUUAUUUUAUGUGUAUAGACUAAAUCUGUAAUUCUUAAUUUUGUGAUGGGACAAAUUAGAAAUAUAAAAAAUUAACAGGCAGGCUUUGCCUAUAAAUAGGCGAUUAUUGUCACCAAAUUACAUGUAAUAUUUUUCUAUUCUGAUAUCACAUCAACAGAAAUAUAGAGAGUGUGAAAACUCAAAAGACUAUGUGCUAAUUUGAAAGAUCUAUCACAAGACGUGUAGAUUUAUUCCACUAAGGAUUUAAGUACGCUUCCGUAUUUAUUCUCUUUGAUUCAGUACGAGAUUUGUUUACAGUUUUAUUUUCAGAUCUAGUUUGAUUUAAUUGUAACACAAAUUGGAAAAAGUUUAUAGGUGUAUAUUUUGCAUAUAAAUGAUUGCUUAGCCAAGUUUUUUGCAUUUAUUUAUGCGACAACAAACAUAAGCUCUACAAGACGUAUGAAAUCGAACUACUUUUAAUUAAAACUUGGAUUUAGUUUUGACUUUUAACAAAAAAAUAAAACCAAAAAUUAAAAGCAUGUACUUUUGAAAUUUCAAAUGUAUCAUAGAUAGAUUGCAACGGCCCCAGAAAUUCAAAAAGAAAUACAUAUUAUAAUCUGAGUACGGAAGCGAAAUAAAAGAUUAAGAUUAAUAUCCCUUACACAAUAACUUAAAAGUACCAAACAAUAUCACAGAAUAAGUUCUCUAAAAGAAAUACGAGAAAUAAGAAAAAUAAAGGAAACUAUAAGGUAUCUAGCAUCUACUCGCCGUCUUCUUGUGGAUUGGGCUCAGAAACCAGGUCCUCCUGAUCUGAAAUGGUUAAAUAAGGAAUGAGCUACACUAGUCCAGUAAGGACAUCACACUAAUCACGUCACAGAAGCAAAGGUUGGUAGAAAAUUAAAACAACCAAUGAAGCAGUAGAUUUAAACAAAUUCAUUUAUCAAUAAUCAAACAAUUUACCGUCCACUUACCGCAGUGAGAUUUAUAAAAACAGCCUUUGGAAACAAUAACAUUAUAAAUACCAUGAAUUCAUAUAUAAUCUGUAACAUGGCACAUAUCAUACUUUUAUAUUCAAAUCAUCAAACAACAAUUGUCUCUUUUUAUCAGCUUACUAAUAUCCAUAGGGAUCCAUAGAGGUCUCCGCUACAUGUGAACCAUUCCCCUUAACAAACUUAAUUCCAGAGCCGUCGUCCGGUAUGAGCACCAAAACAAUAAACCUCAAUACCCCGUCCAGUAUGAGGGUGAAGCUAGCCGUCCCUAUACCCCGUCCGGUAUGAGGGUGAAGCUAGCCGUCCCCAUACCCCGUCCGGUAUGAGACAACGUCUAUGGUAGGGUUCUCUAUGAACCCGGUCCGUCCACCAUCUCCCAGGAUAUCUAAUGAGGCUGUCAUCUUAUCCACUUAUCAAAUCUCAUCCCAUUACUAUUUGUCCUUAGUCUCCAUUACCAACUCAAACAUGAAUACAUACACAAGUAACGUGCAUCCAACAAAGCAAGCAUAUCUUAGAUUCCCAAAAUCAAACAGUAGUGAAGUAAGUAGUGAAACAUGCAUUCAAAAUCAUAGAAUAAAUAAACCAUAAAUUAUAAUGCAUUUAAACUGUAAAAUAAAUCAAACAAGAAUUGACAAAGAAAUAUAUCCGGUUCGAGCUCAAUUAGCAACCGUAAUUAAUUAUGCAUAUCUAAUUUAAUUUGUACAAAAUACAGUAUUAUCAUUUAUUCAGACUUCAAUUCCAUAAUAGGAAAUAGGGUGAGGGGUCCUUACUUGAUUUGACACCGAAAACUAGAUUUUCACUGCGCCUACGGGCGGUCCUUGGAUUCCCUGAUUUUUUUUCUUGGGAACUGAAACGCACUUACGGUACCUAUACAUGUCCCAAAUAACUCAAAAAUCAGACCCAGGGCCUACUCAGCCAAUUUCAGAAUUCUGGCAUGGUGGCUCCGCCGUGCUUCGGCAACGACGCCGACACUCGCGGCGGCGAUCCACCUUGGGUUGGCUAUUUUCGGCCAUUUUCGGCCGAAUUCAGCCAAACUUGCAUAGGUUCUUAUGAGAAAACACACUUAGGACCCUCGGUGGGCCGAAAAAAUACAAAAAACUAAAACUUACCAGCGGUGGGCCUCUCUAGUGCGGUAGCUCCUCCGGUUUACGUCGCGGUUGGGUAUUUUGCUCAGGUCAACCUGUAAAGGAGGAAACGGUGAUCACAAUGGUGGAAAAAUCACAUCGAACGGGAAUCCAAAAGGGCCUCAUCGGAGGCAAAAAUCGAGAUACCCCGCGACUGCACCGCUGAGUUUCGGCGGCAUUUUUCGGGCAGUUGGCCGGUGCUUUCACUCCGAUUUGAUCAUAGGUGGGUUUAGAAUCAAAUUCUGAGCAAAUGGUAGAAUUUUUACCUUGUUUGGCGGCUGGAAAUUGCUCCAGUACGGCAGUGGGUGGCAGCAAUCGGCUCCCCGGCGGCUGGGCUGUCUUCUCUGACGAGGGGCUUUGGCGGUUAGGGUUAGGGUUUGGGUGCGGAUAAUGUUAUUUAUACCCAUCCGCUUUUGAUCUCAGUCGUCCAUCACUUUUAAUCUGGACCGUCCGAUCGCGAUUAAAUAGGAAAUGAAUCUGCACCGUUCAUCACGAUUCAAUCUGGGCUGUCCGUGCGCGCUUUCGAUCUUGGUCGUCCGUGCGCGCGGGAACGGAUCUCAGCUGUUCAAUCGAGCGCACGCGGAUCGUCCACGUGGCUCCCCUCUGCGUGGCCUUCCGCGUCAGCGUCUCUGCCACCUGGCGUGUCCUGGUUGGCCGAGGCUGCUGACCGAGCAGCUGACGUGGCACAAUUUUUUUAAAUUGUGUUUUGACCCCCGGUUUCUAAUUUUUCUUUCAAAAAUACCCUCAGAACCCAAAUUUUCACCAUUUUUUCCCAAAGUUGUUUUCAAUUAAAUCUCUAAAUAAUUUUUAUCUAUUAUUAUUAUUAUUAUUAUUAUUAUUUCUAUUAAAAUAAAUUAAACUAAAUUAAAUUCAAUAUAAAAUUACAUAAAUAAUAAUUAUAUUCAUACAAUAAUAAUUAAUAAAAAGAAAAAAAAAGGUUGGGUGUUACAUAGAUGAAUAAUUUCAUGAUAUAUUUACUAAUUUUAUAUUUAGUAAUUUAUUAAUUUUUUGUUUCAAAAAUAAGAAUAUAAUAACAAAUUUAUGAACAAAAUACUAAUUUACUCUUUAAAUUUUGACAUUUGUUACAAUUUGAUUUGUAACUUUUUUUCAUUAUAAUUUGAUUUUUAACAUUUUCUAUUGGUUUUACAUGUCUAGUUUCUUUCUAUUUCCUAAUAGAAAAAACUAAAUUGAUUACAUUAAGUUUGGAUGUCUUAAAAAAAAAAAACUCAAAAAAAUGAAUUUAAUUAAUAUUAAAAAUAGACUUAAUAUUGUUAUUAAUUUAUUAAUUUAAUUAAUUAGUAAAAAUCAUUAUUCUAAAUAUUUAAACUAUUUAAAUAUAACAUAACUAUUUUAACAUUUUCUGUUAGAAAAUGUAAGUACAAAACAAAAAGUUUAAAAGACCAAAUUGUAACAAAAAAUAUAUAUAUAUAAGGGACCAAAUGGUAUUAAGUGUCAAACUUCAGCAGCUAAAUUAGUAAUUUUUUCUAAUUUUAUUGUUAAAAAUUUUAUAUUUAUUGUAAAUUCUGUUAACUAAUUUUUAUUUCAAAAAUUAAAAAUAAUAAUUUAAAAUUAAUAGUUUUAUUGAAUAAAUUGAAAUAACUAUUUUACAAAUAGUCGACAAGUUUUGAAGAAAAAUAUUAUGAUACUAUUUAAAUAAUUUUAGUAUGUAAUAUUUAAAAAUUUUUGGUAAUUAUUUUUGUUUCAAUAUUGAUUGCAAAUUUUAUAAAAUAAUUAAUCAAAUAAAAUAUCACCGUUUACAUUUACAUUAUUUUUAAUUCAAUCAUUUGUGUAAUAAUUAUUUAAUAUUUUUUUCUUUUUGUAUAAAAAUAAAACCAUGCAAACAUUAAACUAAAUAUUCAACAUAAUUGUAACUUAUUACAAACGACGUCGCACUUAACAUACUGCACUCAUCGUGAGCUCAACUACAAUUCCUCCACAAUAAUAACACCAGAAACUAAUCAAUUAUUAGAGAAAAAAAGUGAACGGAAACCAACCAUAAUCCUAAACCUAAACAAUGACCAUAACAUGAAACUAAUAAACUAAGACGAAAUUAUUAAAGUAGUUCAAUUUAAUCAACCAGUCCCACCAAGAACAGCCUUGAGUUUCUUGACCUGCGCAUCAUCAAGGAAAGUGGUUUUUUCAAUUAAGUCAGAAGGCAAAUCGUUGGCGAACAGUGCAAAGUCCAGGAUCUGCAGACCGGGAGUUGAACUACUGAAGGAGACGAAAGCAGUCGCAAAAGACUUUCCUGAAUUGACUUGAAAAUGCAGUAAGCCUUGAGGGAACACCAUGAUAUCUCCCUUGUAUAGGGUUUUAAGAUAGACUGUGUUUGCAGAUGAAAUGAAUCCAGCGCAUAUUACUCCUUCCACGACAACAAGCACUUCUGAUCCACCUGGGUGCGUGUGCAUUGGCACUACUCCUCCUGCGGCUAAAUCUAAACGAGCCAUGGAGAUCCCAAGCCCGUUCACACCUGGAAACUGAGCCGCGAAUGCUGGAGUCACCGCGGCUUUGAUAAGGUUUGAGGUGUUUCCGGCCUUUCCGAGGUAGAAAGCAAAGUCAUUUUCCGUGACCUUGGCUGGGUUCUUGCAAGAGAAGCCAGCAGGGCUCUGUGGACCUGACAAGUCGGCUACGCAGAAGUCUUGGACGGCACCAAAGGAGGUGGAAAUGAGGAGUGAAGAGAUGAAGAAGAAGAUAGGGAGAAUCAUCUUCGCCAAUCACCACCUCUGGUCGUCACUCUAAUUUCUCACUGCAUGCUCUUUUAGACCAUUUGUAUAUAUAGACCGGGAAGGUGAGGAUAUUUUUUGGCAUAUUCACGUGCACCUAAUAUAAUUCAGAAAUUCAAUUACCUCUCCACAAGUUCAGGAAUUUUUUCAGUAAAAAUUUAUAUAUAUUCAUACAGUAUAUUGUACAUAAACUGUAACACAAUUUACAGCCUGACUUGGAGUUAAUAGAUGUCAAGCUGUUAUGGAUGUCGUCAAGUAAUCUUCUUAGAUUUUCUCCAGAAAAUGACAAGAGUUCUCUUUCGCUUUUUCUUUUUCAUUGUCUUUCUUGGUGAAUGCGCUCUCUCUCUCUCUUUUGAGUACGGAACGUCUUUCUAGAAUCUGGAAAGGUCAUUGCUAAUCAUUUGACUUAAUAAUAAUGUUGUUUUCUGAGUAUUCUUUCAUUAUCAUUUUAACGUCUGCAGCUUCAAGUUAUAUUCUUUGAUUGGGUGGAGGAAAAUGGCCGUUCAUAACUUCUCUGAAUCAUUAAACAAAUAUUAAUGAAGGAAUGAUUGUUAGCUAAGGAUUUUUCACAUGUUGCAAUCACAUUGAUGUCUAGGCCAUAUUAACUUUUAGAGUCAGCAUCAAAUUUAAGAUGAAGCUCUUGGGACAUGCAUGCACCUUGUGUGUGUUUUCUUUAGGAGGUGGACUGUGUUAUUUACUUAAUUAGGUAUGAAUUUUCACCAAAAAAAAUCAACUAAUAAUUAAUAAGGAGGAUAUUUCUGGAUCAAUAGGUUAAAGAAAAUGAGGAGAUGAGUCCAAAAAACAAAUACUGUAAUGAAAAGAAUGAGAGAAGGGGGUCCAUGUGCAUAUGGGCGGUAGAAGACAUAUUUGACAGCUAGAAGAACCUCUGCAACUCUUCUGAAUCACUCCUUAUCUCCAAUCACGGAAAGAAUGAGUGGCCACUGAGAGUUCCCUAUCUCCAAAGGUAUUUACAAUAGGCUCAGAAAGGCCAAAAAGUUCGUCUCCCCUUCAAAAUAUCUUCGCCGCCCGUGCAACAAAUUAAAUUCUUCUACAGUAAAUUCUUUUAUGUACAUAUGUAUAUAUAAAUUUUUAAUAUGAAAUAAGCUAAACUUACCUCAUUAAUUGAGCUCAACUCAAACUUAGGCUAAUAACAUGAGUUGUCCAAUUCAUGGGUUUCCAUGUUAGUCUUUGCUAAAUGUAGUAUAUGUUGGAGUUUUUUUUCUUAGUGAAGAAAAUUUAAAUUUUCAUAAACUUUACUAGCUCAAAAUUAAUAAAUAAAAAUAUUUUUAAAUAUGUUUAUAUCAAAUUCAAAUUUUUUAAAAAUAAUUUAUCAUAAUCUAGAAGAUAAAAUAUUAAUCAAAUAUUCUAAAAAAUAAAUUAAUAUUAAUAAAAUAAUAUUUUAAAAAAUAAAAAUAUUCUAAAUCUAAUUAAAGAUAAAUCCAAUAUAUAUUUAAACUAAUAAAGAAAAUAAUUUAUAAUUUCUACAUUAAUCUUCAACACUCUCUCUUAAUGUAAAAAUUAUAAUCAUCAAAUUUGUAACGGCCCCGGAAAUUAAAAAGAAAUGUAUAUAUUUAUUCUCAGUGCGGAAGCGAAAUAAAAUAGAUUAUAAUUAACAUCUCUUACACAAUAAUCAAAACGUAUUAAAAAUAUGAAAGGAUAAACUAACUAAAAAAAAUAUUAUGAAUGAAUACUAUAAGAAAAACAGAUAAAUCUUUAGGCUUCUACUCGCCGUCUUCCUACGGAACGGACUCGGGAACCAAGUCCUCCUGAUCUGAAAUGGUUAAGUAAGGAAUGAGCUACACUAGCUCAGUAAAGAUGUCACACUAUCUCACUGUCAUAGAAGUAAAGGUUAGUAGAAAACAAAAACGACUAAUGGAGCAUAAUUUAUAACAAAUUCAUUUAUCAAUAAUAAAACCAUUUACUGUCCACUUACCUCGGCGAGAUUCAUAAAAACAACUUAUGAAAACAAUAACAUUAUAAACAUCAUAAGACCAUGCACACUCUGUAACAUAACACAUAUCAUACUUUUGUAUUUCAAUUAUCAAGCAACAAAUUUCCUCUUUUAUCAGCCUACUAGUAUCCAUGGGGAUCCAUAGGGGUCCCCGCUAUACGUGAAUCAUUCAUUUUAACAACUUAAUUACAAGUCUGUCCCCAUACCCUGUCCGGUAUGGGCGUCAAAAUGAUAAACCUCAAUAUCCCGUCAGGUAUAAGGGUGAAGUGGGUCGUCCCUAUACCCCGUCUGGUAUUAGUGCCAAAACAUUUAAAGUCUCCAUACCCCGUCCGGUAUGAGAGACAACGUUCUCGGAACCCUAUGGACUCGGUCCGUCCACCAUCUCCCAGGAUAUCUAGUGAGGCUGUCGACUUAUCCAUUUAUCAAUUCGCAUACCUUUUCUAUUCUUUUCUUAGUUUUAUGUUUCUCACAUAAUCGUGAAUAUUUAAACCAGUAACGAGCAUCCAACAAUGCAAGCAUAUCAUCGGAUUCACAAAUCAAGAUAAAAUGAAGUAAAUAGUGAUUCAUACAUUCAAAAUCAUAGGAUAAAUAAAUCAGAUACCAUAAU